AUUGAACGCUGGCGGCAGGCUUAACACAUGCAAGUCGAGCGAGCGGCGGACGGGUGAGUCAUGUCUGGGAAACUGCUUGAUGGAGGGGGAUAACUCCUGGAACCGGUAGCUAAUACCGCAUACCAUCAGAUGUGCCCAGAUUGGAUUAGCUAGUAGGUGGGGUAAUGGCUCACCUAGGCGACGUUCCCUAGCUGGUCUGAGAGGCUGACCAGCCAACCUGGAACGGAGACACGGUCCAGACUCCGACGGGAGGCAGCAGUGGGGAAUAUUGCACAAUGGGCGCAAGCCUGAUGCAGCCAUGCCGCGUGUGUGAAGAAGGCCUUCGGGUUGUAAAGCACUUUCAGCGAGGAGGCGUUACUCGCAGAAGAAGCACCGGCUAACUCCGUGCCAGCCGCCGCGGUAAUAC
rnacentral:rRNA from 1 species